UACGAAGGGGGCUAGCGUUGCUCGGAAUCACUGGGCGUAAAGCGCACGUAGGCGGCUUUUUAAGUCAGGGGUGAAAUCCUGGAGCUCAACUCCAGAACUGCCUUUGAUACUGGGAAGCUUGAGUCCGGGAGAGGUGAGUGGAACUCCGAGUGUAGAGGUGAAAUUCGUAGAUAUUCGGAAGAACACCAGUGGCGAAGGCGGCUCACUGGCCCGGUACUGACGCUGAGGUGCGAAAGCGUGGGGAUCAAACAGG
rnacentral:rRNA from 1 species